UACGUAGGGGCCUAGCGUUGUCCGGAUUUAUUGGGCGUAAAGAGCUCGUAGGCGGUUUGGUAAGUCGGGUGUGAAAUCUCCACGCUCAACGUGGAGGGGCCACCCGAUACUGCCAUGACUGGAGUCCGGUAGGGGAGUGUGGAAUUCCCGGUGUAGCGGUGAAAUGCGCAGAUAUCGGGAGGAACACCAGUAGCGAAGGCGGGUCUCUGGGCCGAUACUGACGCUGAGGAGCGAAAGCGUGGGGAGCGAACAGG
rnacentral:rRNA from 1 species